rnacentral:tRNA from 1 species
GCGGGCAUCGUAUAAUGGCUAUUACCUAGCCUUCCAAGCUAAUGAUGCGGGUUCGAUUCCCGCUGCCCGCUCCA